rnacentral:rRNA from 1 species
UACGUAGGGGGCAGGCGUUGUCCGGAUUUAUUGGGCGUAAAGAGCGUGUAGGCGGCUGGGUAGGUCCGUUGUGAAAACUUGAGGCUCAACCUCGAGACGCCGAUGGAAACCCUCCAGCUAGAGUCCGGAAGAGGAGAGUGGAAUUCCUGGUGUAGCGGUGAAAUGCGCAGAUAUCAGGAAGAACACCCGUGGCUAAGGCGGCUCUCUAGUACGGUACUGACGCUGAGACGCGAAAGCGUGGGGAGCGAACAGG